rnacentral:rRNA from 1 species
AUGUUUUUUGGUCCCCGCAACUAUUGUCAACCACUACUGGAAUUGCCGCAAUUGUCGAGUUCCCAGGGAACUCAGCAAAGCCCGGAAAAAACUCGGCAUUGUGUUUGCCAAGUUUCAUUCUCGGCAAACAGCACUCGACUGGACAAGGGUCGGCAAUCAUUAACUUUGCCGAGUUUCUAUUAUCGGGCACUCAUCAAACAUUUAAAAAUUCAUUGCCGAGUUUCAAAAACGAGAACUCGGCAAAGUACCAUGUUAGGUGAAACGGUCAUUAAUGGCGGUGCCACGUGGCUAGCAACCUUUGCCGAGCGUGGAACUUGGCAGUCCAAUGACGACUAG